AUGGACAGCGCGCCGUCGACGCCCGCCGUGUGCUCGCUGUUUUGCGCAGCCCAUCCGCGACGCCGUCGAAAACCGUGCUAGUGGUCGACGUCGUGCCUUGCCCGUUCGAC